CAACCCGAUGCAAACUGCGAAUACCGGAGAAUGUUAUCACGGGAGACACACGGCGGGUGCUAACGUCCGUCGUGAAGAGGGAAACAACCCAGACCGCCAGCUAAGGUCCCAAAGUCAUGGUUAAGUGGGAAACGAUGUGGGAAGGCCCAGACAGCCAGGAUGUUGGCUUAGAAGCAGCCAUCAUUUAAAGAAAGCGUAAUAGCUCACUGGUCGAGUCGGCCUGCGCGGAAGAUGUAACGGGGCUAAACCAUG
rnacentral:rRNA from 1 species